rnacentral:tRNA from 1 species
GGUCCCUUGGAUUAGUGGUCAUAUCGUUCGGUUUUGACUCUAAUUUAAGAUCAUUCCGAAAGGUCGCCGGUUCAAUCCCGGCAGGGACCU